GNAUGAACGCGUGGCGGCGUGCCUUAAUACAUGCAAGUCGAGCGGUAANACUUCCACAGUUUGCUGGAUCGAGACAGGUCGCGGCUGCCCAUUGNGGCAGACGCAUCAUUACAUUAAGUGAUGAGCGGCCAGUCUCAAUAGAUCAAGCAAAGUGUGGAAGUACACNAGCGGCGGACGGGUGAGUAACGCGUAAGAAUGUACCCCGAACUGAGGGAUAACUGCUCGAAAGAGUANCUAAUACCGCAUAGUCUCUACUGAGUAAAGCUACNGCGGUUUGGGAACAGCUUGCGUCUGAUUAGCUAGUUGGUACNGUAACGGCGUACCAAGGCGACGAUCAGUAGCUGGUCUGAGAGGAUGACCANCCACACUGGGACUGAGACACGGCCCACACUCCUACGGGAGGCAGCANUANGGAAUUUUCCACAAUGGGGGCAACCCUGAUGGANCGACGCCGCGUGCAGGAUGAANGCCUUCGGGUUGUAAACUGCUUUUAUCUGUGACGAAUAUGACGGUAGCAGAUGAAUAAGGAUCNGCUAACUCCGUGCCAGCAGCCGCGGUCAUACNGAGGAUCCAAGCGUUAUCCGGAAUAACUGGNCGUAAUGCGUUGCGUANGCGGCAGGUAAAGCGGAGUGUGAAAUCGUGUGGCUCANCCAUGCGGCUAUGCUCUGAACUCACCAGCUAGAGAGCGAGAGAGGUAACUGGAAUUCCUAGUGUANGANUGAAAUCCNUAGAUAUUANGAGGAACACCGAUGGCGUANGCAGGUUACUGGCUCGUUUNUGACGCUCAGGCACGAAAGCGUGGGGAGCAAACGGGAUUAGAUACCCCGGUAGUCCACGCCGUAAACUAUGGAUGCUAGCUGUGAGAAGUAUCGACCCUUNUNGUAGCGAAGCUAACGCGUUAAGCAUCCCGCCUGGGGAGUACGGUCGCAAGAUUAAAACUCAAAGGAAUUGACGGGGACCCGCACAAGCGGUGGAGCGUGUUGUUUAAUUCGAUGAUAAACGUAGAACCUUACCCAGGCUUGACAUCCUUGGAAUUUNUUNGAAAGAAGAAAGUGCUUUUAGAGCCAAGUGACAGGUGCUGCAUGGCCGUCGUCAGCUCGUGUCGUGAGAUGUUAGGUUAAGUCCUUCAACGAGCGCAACCCUUUUNUUCAGUUGGAUUUCUCUGAACAGANUGCCCUGGUAACAGGGAGGAAGGGGGGGAUGAUGUCAGGUCAGUAUUGCCCUUANGUCUGGGGCUACAAACANGNUACAAUGGCCGGUACAAAGGGCAGCCAACCCGCAAGGGGGAGCAAAUCCCAUCAAAGCCGGUCUCAGUUNGGAUUNCAGGCUGAAACUCGCCUGCAUGAAGCCGGAAUCGCUAGUAAUGGUAGGUCAGCUAUACUNCCGUGAAUACGUUCCCGGGUCUUGUACACACCGCCCGUCAAACCAUGAAAGUCGCCAAUACCUGACGUNCUGAACUCGUUUCGGCCUAAGGUAGGGGAGAUGAUUGGGGUU
rnacentral:rRNA from 1 species